rnacentral:rRNA from 1 species
CCUACGGGAGGCAGCAGGGAGGAAUAGUGGUCAAUGGGCGCGAGCCGGAACCAGCCAAGUAGCGGGAAGGAUGACUGCCCUACGGGUGGUAAACUGCUUUUAUAAAGGAAUAAAGUGAGGCACGUGUGCCUUUUUGUACGUACUUUAUGAAUAAGGAUCGGCUAACUCCGUGCCAGCAGCCGCGGUAAUACGGAGGAUCCGAGCGUUAUCCGGAUUUAUUGGGUUUAAAGGGAGCGUAGAUGUGUUGUUAAGUCAGUUGUGAAAGUUUGCGGCUCAACCGUAAAAUUGCAAUUGAUACUGGCAGUCUUGAGUACAGUUGAGGUCGGCGGAAUUCGUGGUGUAGCGGU